UGGGGAAUCUUAGACAAUGGGGGAAACCCUGAUCUAGCCAUGCCGCGUGAUCGAUGAAGGCCUUAGGGUUGUAAAGAUCUUUCAGUGGGGAAGAUAAUGACUGUACCCACAGAAGAAGCCCCGGCUAACUCCGUGCCAGCAGCCGCGGUAAUACGGAGGGGGCUAGCGUUGUUCGGAAUUACUGGGCGUAAAGCGCACGUAGGCGGAACAGAAAGUCAGAGGUGAAAUCCCAGGGCUCAACCUUGGAACUGCCGUUGAAACUCCUGUUCUUGAGGUCGAGAGAGGUGAGUGGAAUUCCGAGUGGAGAGGUGAAAUUCGUAGAUAUUCGGAGGAACACCAGUGGCGAAGGCGGCUCACUGGCUCGAUACUGACGCUGAGGUGCGAAAGCGUGGGGAGCAAACA
rnacentral:rRNA from 1 species